rnacentral:rRNA from 1 species
GGCUCCCUGUAGUUUAUAGAUAGGGAGUCGGACCUGCCCGGUGAAUUUUUUAACGGCCGCGGUACUUUGACCGUGCAAAGGUAGCAUAAUCAUUUGCCUUAUAAUUGAAGGCUUGUAUGAAUGGUUUGACAAGAGAGUAACUGUCUCUUUAUAAUUAAAUGGAAUUUUAUUUUCAGGUGAAAAAGCCUGAGUGAUAUUGAAAGACAAGAAGACCCUAUCGAGCUUUAAAAAAUUAAUAAACUUUAAAUAUUUUAAUACUGUAUGAGAAGUUGUUUAUUAAAAAUUUUGGUUGGGGCGACUGAGGAACAAAUAAAGCUUCCUUUAUUCUAGGAGACAAACAGGUAUUGACCCAAAAAAUUUGGUUAAAGGACUUAGUUACCGUAGGGAUAACAGCAUAAUCUUUUUUGAGAGUUCUAAUCGAAAAAAAGGUUUGUGACCUCGAUGUUGGACCAGAAUAUCCUGAAGAUGCAGUCGUCUUCAAGGGUUGGUCUGUUCGACCAUUAAAAUUCU